rnacentral:rRNA from 1 species
GACGAACGCUGGCGGCGUGCUUAACACAUGCAAGUCGAACCCGCCUGUCCUCUGGGUUUCUGGGGGGUGGGUGAGUGGCGAACGGGUGAGUAACACGUGAGUAACCUGCCCCCUUCUUCGGGAUAACGGUCUGAAAGGGCUGCUAAUACCGGGUAUUCACUGGUCUCCGCAUGGGGUCUGGUGGAAAGGUUUUUUUCUGGUGGGGGAUGGGCUCGCGGCCUAUCAGCUUGUUGGUGGGGUGAUGGCCCACCAAGGCUUUGACGGGUAGCCGGCCUGAGAGGGUGACCGGUCACAUUGGGACUGAGAUACGGCCCAGACUCCUACGGGAGGCAGCAGUGGGGAAUAUUGCACAAUGGGCGCAAGCCUGAUGCAGCGACGCCGCGUGAGGGAUGGAGGCCUUCGGGUUGUGAACCUCUUUCGCCCGUGGUCAAGCCGCGACGUGGGUCGUGGUGAGGGUAGUGGGUAAAGAAGCGCCGGCUAACUACGUG